rnacentral:rRNA from 1 species
CCUACGGGGGGCAGCAGUGAGGAAUAUUGGUCAAUGGGCGCGAGCCUGAACCAGCCAAGUAGCGUGAAGGAUGACUGCCCUACGGGUUGUAAACUUCUUUUAUAAAGGAAUAAAGCGAGGCACGUGUGCCUUUUUGUAUGUACUUUAUGAAUAAGGAUCGGCUAACUCCGUGCCAGCAGCCGCGGUAAUACGGAGGAUCCGAGCGUUAUCCGGAUUUAUUGGGUUUAAAGGGAGCGUAGAUGGGUUGUUAAGUCAGUUGGGAAAGGUUGCGGCUCAACCGUAAAAUUGCAAUUGAUACUGGCAGGCUUUGGGACAGGUGAGGUAGGCCGAAAUUGUGGGGG